GACUAAGACAUGCUAGUCGAGCGUCUUCAGGCUAUGUUGAGGACGCGGCGUACGGCUCAGUAACACGUGGCCAACCUACCCUUAGGACGGAGACAACCCCGGGAAACUGGGGCUGAUCCCCGAUAGGUGAGGACGCCUGGAAUGGUCUCUCACCCAAAGGACGUUGAAGCCAUGCUUUUCGGCGUUGCCUAAGGAUGGAGCCGCGGCCGAUCAGGUUGUUGGUGAGGUAACGGCUCACCAAGCCUAUAACCGGUACGGGCCAUGAGAGUGGGAGCCCGGAGAUGGGCACUGAGACAAGGGCCCAGGCCCUACGGGGCGCAGCAGUUGCGAAACCUCCACAAUGCACGAAAGUGCGAUGGGGCUAACCCGAGUGCCGUCCGCUGAGGAGGGCUUUUCUCCGCUGUAAGGAGGCGGAGGAAUAAGGAGAGGGCAAGACUGGUGUCAGCCGCCGCGGUAAUACCAGCUCUCCGAGUGGUAGGGACGAUUAUUGGGCCUAAAGCGUUCGUAGCCGGCUUGGCAAGUCUUUCGUUAAAUCCAGUGACCUAAUCGCUGGGCUGCGGGAGAUACUGUCAGGCUUAGGAGCGGAAGAGGUCGACGGUAUUCUCGGGGUAGGGGUGAAUCCUGUAAUCCGGGAGGACCACAGUGGCGAGGCUGUCA
rnacentral:rRNA from 1 species